ACACCUGUCUGAAAAGACAGAGCCCUGCAGCAUAAUACAACGGUUCUGCAGUUCUUAGCAGACUUCGUGUCCCAAAGUAACCUUGACAGGUGCACACAGCUCUGAUGGGAGACAGCUAUGGCCCAGGUGCUAUUAAUCAUAUGACACAUUAGUCACAUGGGCGUAACGUGUUUGAUACUGGGGGAGGGCACAGGGGACAGGGACAAUUAGAAAUUGCUGAGUUACCACGUUAUGCUUGCAGUAAGAGCCCAUUUCUGGACACACACAAGCACCUAUGCAUAAAAUCAACUGUAGGAUUUUAACCUCGGCCUGGAAACACAAUCACAGGUCUCAGCAAAAGCAGAGCUAGUGAAGAUGAAUACUUUGAGUUGCCCAAUUUACACAUCCUGAUUAUAUGCUAAUACCUGGCUGCAUAGGUAAAAUCUUCCCAGAAAUAUGGGACCAUGCCUUUGAGUUCAAAAUCAGUGGAUAAUCCUCACUUACUGCAAUAUUCCUUCUACUCAGAAGAAAUAUCAGACAUUUUCAUCUCCUUCAGAAUCAGAAACCAUGAUUUUUUUUUUUUUUAUCUAGAUGUGUUGCUGCCCAGCUAAAAGACUUGAUAUUCAUGUUUGUAUCCAUUUAGUCUUGCAGGUUGGUGUGCUGAGACUAAAUUCCUGUUGACAUCAAACAAAGGUGUGGUGCAUGACCACCUGUGAAGAUCUUUGAAAAGGAGCUUCCUGGCUGCAAUGAUGUGAGCAGCUUUCUUCCACCACAUGCUCCGGCCAUGAUGUGCUGCUUCACCACAGGUUUAAAGUGAUGGAGCCAUUUGACCAUGGACUGAAACCUCUGAAAUUAAUUCUGCAUGAAGAGGGGAUCGAUCGUGAACAUCUUGAAAGUCCAGAGGAAGAGGAAAAUCCUCAGGAGACCCAGAUAGAGCUCCCAGCAGGGCUGUGCCCUUCCUUGGCCCCUAGGUACAGAGGAGGUGUCUUCUACAUAGACCCUUGUGCAUAUUUUGGAACGUCUUCAUUUGGGUCUCCUAUUUUCUUCACUAGUAACAACCAAAGACCUGAGGGUACAGAUGUGUUACAGAGCAGAAGCCACUAAAAUUGUUUUCUUUUUGCUUUUAUGAAGUUUCAGAGAGAACAGAAGAAAAACAAAGCCAUGUAAUGAAAGGAACUGAUAAAUGUAAUCUUAAAAAAGUUGGGAGAACUAUAAGAAAUAACUUUUUCCCUAGGUGUCUGGGUUAUCUUCAAAACUAGUAUUUCUAAUGUGAAAGUAAAAUGUUUUUUUCUGAUAUAAAAUAAAAUGCACUCAUAUUUGGAAUUAUAGGAAACUUAAAAGUAUAAAAUUGCUCUCAAUUCCAUAAAAUAUACCCUUAGAUGAGUGAUGGCAAACCUUUUAGAACUUUCAAUGAUACAAACAGCUUGCUGUGGUGUGUGUCAUACAUUCUCCUCCAUUGCUCUAGAUGUCAUAUGUAUUUAAUUUGUAUUUAUCUUUAUUUAUACUCCCAACAACCUGAUAUACCCACUAUUUAUUGUUUAUUCCAUGGUACUGCAGACUGAAUCCAGGACCUUCACACAGAAAUACAUUCCUAGUCCAUUUCUUCUGACUUCAAUAAAUAUAAAAUAUAAAUUUAAAUAUGAUUUAUAAAAAUACAUUUUUCUUUUAAAGUUCACAAAUAUUUUAUGUAAUUACAAAAUCAGAAAGUUAAAUAUAUAAUUUUGAAUUUUGCUUUCACAUUGUAACUAGAUCGGUAAGACAGAAUCAACUAUUUUUUAAACCAGUUAGAGGAAGGAUAAAAUAGAACUAGAAAAACAGCACACUGUCAAAUCCAAAAGUAUUUGGCAAGUGGUAAAUAAUUUUGACAUAUAAAUUAAUUGAGCCAAAUCUUAAAUCAGUUAGGAAAUGCUGAGUCCCAAAGAGCUGAAACCACCCUAGGAGCAAGGCUCUGGUAGGAGGUGGUGGGUGACAGAGACCCUGUUGCUGGGAGCUUUCAUCCUCCAGACUCAGAAGUGAGGGGCCUGCAGCAAAGUACAGGGGAAUGGGGCUCAGUCUGCUUUCACACGAAAUCAUUUCUGCAAAGCAAAAUAAUUUUGUAUACACCAUGCUCUAAGAAUCACAUAUGAUUUACUUAUAGGAAGCAACAAUCUUAAAAAUGAUCAAGAGGCAAGG